CCAUAUACUUAUAGCAGGGACUCUUCAACUCCAUUAUUUGUUCUUUAAUCUGAAUAUCUUUAGCAGGAGCUGAGCAUAGUUUGAGUGCCUCAUAACAAAUUUAAGCAGGAUAAAGAAUCAGUAAUAAAAGCAGUAGGCUGAAGUAAACAUCAUUUCUCAGUGUUUACAUAUGGCAUACAAGAGUCUUUGUGAUCUGGCCCUUGCCUACAUUUCCAACUUGCUUAUAGACACAAAGACAAUGAAAAUGAUUGGUAAGAAAAAUUGUUAUGUUAAAAGUUGCUUGCCAAUACCCUAAUAUCCUUCAGGUCUCUUGCCAUUCACUGGUAGGUUAUCUGGAAUUUCUACAAUUCUACAUUUCUUAAAAGUAAGAACAGUGGUAGUUCCUCUUAGCAUGCAAAUAUUUAUAGGAAAUAACAUCACAAGA
rnacentral:lncRNA from 1 species